GAAGUGGAAUAAGUGAAUAACUUGGGAGACUUGUUAAUAUGUCGUGGAAGUUUGAAGUAUUAAUAAUUUGGAAGACUUGUAGCUGUCGUGAUUGAUAUAACCGACCUCUUAUAUGGUUUAAUAGAUCUUUGAAAUAGAAUAAACUUGAAUGACUUUGUCAAUAUGGUCGUGUCUGAUAUAACCGACCUUAUAUGGUUUAAUAGAUCUUUGAAAUAGAAUAAACUUGAAUGACUUUGUCAAUAUGGUCGUGUCUGAUACAACCGACCUUAUAUGGUUUACAAAUAAAUGAAGUAAAAUAAUUUGGAA
rnacentral:lncRNA from 1 species